rnacentral:rRNA from 1 species
GAGUUUGAUCCUGGCUCAGAGCGAACGCUGGCGGCAGGCCUAAUACAUGCAAGUCGAACGCACCUUCGGGUGAGUGGCGGACGGGUGAGUAACGCGUGGGAACGUGCCCUUUGGUACGGAACAACUGAGGGAAACUUCAGCUAAUACCGUAUGUGCCCUUCGGGGAAAGGAUUUAUCGCCAUUGGAGCGGCCCGCGUUGGAUUAGCUAGUUGGUAGGGUAAUGGCCUACCAAGGCUACGAUCCAUAGCUGGUCUGAGAGGAUGAUCAGCCACACUGGGACUGAGACACGG